UAUGGCGUGGCCGCAAUGUUGAAACAGUGGCUGAGCUUCCAGCAGCGCUGUCCCCCAGCAUGACGUGUUGUAGAUCUGGACUGCUCCAUCGAAACCUGAGCGAGAAGAGAAAUUAACCUCUUGAAAUAUGACCUAAAAAGUCAGAAACGGUGGCGUGACCAGACGAGGACAGUCUGAUGACCCUGCAGCAACACGGUUCUAGUCCUGAAGAGGCGUCUGCCCACCAGAGGACAGAAUCGCAGGGAGAUGACUGCAGUGGUGGUGAAAGCUGUGGAGCAGCAGAGGUUCGAGUGUCUGCGAUGUAAAUGUUUCCAUUACAGCAGCUGGCGAGGAAAACACAGUUGCUUACAAACUGUAAGGAAGUCAGUGGGUCUGCUGAUGUGGGCCCUGCUGGGAAACAAAGAGCAAGACAGACAGAUGGGUAACUGAUGCAGCUGCUGAGUUCUUGUUCUAUCAACACAACUAAGCAGGAAACAACGUUUCUCUAUUAAGAAUCCUACUUUAACAGUGUGAAACCCUUUAAUAGUUUCAUAGAUAGACAGAUAAAGAGAUAUAUAGAUAAAUCAAUUUUAUUGAUCCCACAGUGGGGAAAUUAAAUGCUGGAACAGCCACAAAACGACAGGGGAAUUGUGCAGGAUUGCAAGAAGAAAAUGAAAAACAUUAGAGCAUAAAAAAAUAAAAAUAAACAUAUGUACAUAUUUGUCAUAUUUCAGUGUUGGACCCAGUGGCAAAAUUCAAACCACUUCCUGAAUCAGUCACGUAGUAAGGCCAGGCAGCGAGGCUUUGCGCAUCAUCAUUUUCAGCCUUGCCCCUAAAUUAGGCGAGCCUCGGGGGACGGUGAGAGCAGGGCCCCAGUGCUGGAAAACACCGCCUCCUCUACUCGGCACACACUUUGUAGCCUUGAUACAGAACGUCACAUAACUACUUAAAACUGUCCACAGUCUCUAUGUUUGACCCCUGGAUGGUGUGAUGUGGCGUUCUCCUCUGGUAUUUAAUCACCAUCUCCUUAGUGUUACUGGUGUUUAAACAUAAGUGGUUGCACUCGCACCAGUCAACAAAGUCCUUGAUGACUGACCUGUAUUCCAGCUCGUUCCCCUCAGGACACACAGCCAACAAUGGCUGAGUUGUCUGAGAACUUCUGGAUGUGACAGCUGCUGGUGUAUUAUGUGAAAUCCGAGGUGUAGAAGGUGAAGAGAAACACCACAUCAACACAUCACCACCACGCCUCACCCUAACCCUUCACAAGUUUCACAAACAAGAGCUUUAAAGUUCACUUGACUAAAGUACAAAUAAUCUGCAUAUUAUGUUAUGUAAUGUGUAACUAUGUAAUUGUAUGUCACAUCUUCCCCUGAAAUCUGAAACCCCAAACAUAAUUCAAUUCAUCCAUUGACUGAUUAACUAUAAUUUAUGCUCUACAGGACAUACGUAAAUGUGAACAUACCACUAAUAAGACAAAAUAAAAAGCUGGUUGUUUUGAGUAGUUUCAUUGUUUUACAGAUCAGAACAAGUAUGUUCUCAUCAUGUAAGUUAAUGAGUAAAAACUGAGCCACAUCAAAUUGUAAGAAGGAAGUUACCUAGUUUAUACAGAGUCUGUCCCGAUGUCACAUUGCUCAGCUGGACGUCGCUGCUCCACGCUCCAUGAAGAACUUGUGGCUGUGAUGAGGGUUGAGCUGCGAUUCUGCUGCCGCUUCCCGCAACAUUUCUGCUUCCUCUGAUGCCUCCUGUUCUCCUGAUCACAUCUGUCACUGACAUAUGACCCAUAACAUUUUAGAAAUCAGUUUAGUGAAGCGAUAAGAUAAUACAGAGUGUGAUGUUUUGUCCUGCUGGUUCAUAAAAGUGAAUUAUAGCUCGUGGAUUGAGGGAUGUGAAACUCACCUCUGUCAUCGCUACCGAGGUCCCAGACCUGCAGAUCGGAGGUUAGCCCAUCGUUUGUCACAGCACAUCUGCAACGGCAGGAUGUCAACAAACGAGACACACAGACCGCAUCGUUUCCUUGAGUGUUAAUGAGACCUGGUCAAAAACGUGCCGGAAGAGAUGCAAAGCAAAAAGGAUGACGCUGGGAGAGGCUGUAAAAGAAUGUGUGCCCAUGAAUGGGACAGCUGAGUAAUUAUAAUAAUAAACUACUGUAAAUCAUCUUACUCAAGAACACACCCGGUGCCAGAAGUGGGGUUCAAACCACGGGACUUUCCCAAGCCGUGCUCUACUACCUGAGCUACCAGGCCAUGAAAUUACUGAGCUCAAUGUAGAUGUGACCAGAGCUGGACAAACUGACUAGAAUUUGACAGAAGUUAUAGUAAACCUGCUGCUGGUGGCACCGACUUGGGGGACAAACUCGGGUGAAUUAAGUGAAUCACCUUGUUUUACCUGGACCUUCAGACAAUUUUUACAAUUUUUGCUCACAGUGUUAAAAAGUUGUUGUUUUCAUAUGUGCCAACAUAACCGCAACAAAGAUAUAAACCAUA